UCUGCCUAGUUCUCUCUUUCUCUCCCUCUCUCUGUCUUUUUGUCUCUAUGUCUAUUGCAUUGUGUCUGAAUAAUUUUCAGGCCCCUUUUUUCCUUCCUUCUUAUAUGCACAUGCUAAAAGAACUAGACAAAGAUGCAAGGUGUUUGCUGCAGUCCAUGUCUCUAGAAGAAGAAAAAAAAAACCUCGUGAUUACAGUGUCAGGUUUUUUUCUUCUAUUUUUUUUUUUCUUCCCACCUAUUCUCAGUGAUUAAACUUCCCCAGGAUGGGGAGGAAAUAAGAGGUGGAAUUGAAAUAGGGAUGAGGAAAAUAUCGUUGCAGCAGCUGCAGCCUGUGGUGUCUGCUGCCAGAUGUGUGAAGGUUCCCGGAGUCCUGGACACUAAAAGGAUGCAUAAAAAUAUUUGGAGACAAAAGCUGCAAACUCAGUGAUCAUUUUCUGUAUUUAACAUGGCAGCAGGCACCGUGUGGAGAAAUCAGUGUGCUGGAUGUUGAACUGGACUUUCCUUCUUUCUAGGAUGAAAGGGGGUGAUCUAUCCCGUUCCAAAAGGGAACUGAGGGGAAGGGGAAGAAAGUCUCCAAAACUAACCCAUCGCGAGCAAUGAACAUGUAUGGCUGUUACUAUCAGCAGUGGUGUAUUUGCAGCGAUGCCUAUCAACAUCCACCAGAGAGCAGGGCAGCUCCAAAACCCACAUCUUUCAUGCUGUGGAAAUUGAUGGAGACAGCAACACAGCCAGCUUCUUGGCCAAACAACAUGGAAUGCAGUUCAUUUCAAAGGUACUGCUCUCUCAGCCUGUGAGGCUUGUGCGUGAUGUAUAUGAGAACGAUUUCCAGCAGAGAGAAGCUUAUCACAGAUCCACCUAAAAGAUUCAGUGACCAGUCAAAAACUGGACCUUCUUGACACACUUUUAACUUAGUAGGAAAGACAAUGGCAUCUACAAUGUGUCCCUGUGUCUGAAAGACAUUAAUUACUUGGCGGAGGAUCAGGCUGCUCGUCUUCUCCUGGGCAGGAUGAGAAUGGUGCUGGUAAGGAAUGAAAAUACUUCCAGGAAUUGAAGGAAUGAUUAAAGCAUAUCUAAAGAGGACAUUUGCCUGUGACUGUUAAAGUGCAGAAUUGACUUUCUUGAUCCUAGAUAAAUAAACAGAGAGAAGGCUUUAUGCUACUGCAGGCUGUGCUGGAGGCUUCACCUUUUCCUGUCAGAAGUGGACUUUGCUACAGCAUUUAAGGUUUUGUUUAUCCCUGUGCUGGAUUGCUUCAGAUUGUUCUGCUUGGGCUUGUCAGCUGAAAAGCAGAGAAACAUCACAUGUUAAAGCUUGAUGAAAUCUCUAAGCAACAUAAAGAGGAGUGCAGCUUAUUAUUUAGAUGUGGCAACAUACAGCGCUGAAAUAUCUCCAAAGACAUGGUCACUGUCUCCAAAUCUCCUAAUGAGAUUUCUUGAGGAUGGAAUUAUAGGGAAGCCCUGUGUGGUAAAGAUCAGGACCAUACUUUUAAGCAAGAAGUGGGUCUUUUUAGUGCAGGCUCUCUGGCCUGAAAAUAGGGAUGGGAUUUGCACUCGCACAUGAUGGGACGACUUUUUUUUUUUUACAUAAUGUUUCCUGCAGUACUAUGGCAGUUUCUUUUUUCCAUCAUAUUUCUCCACAACCCAUAUCCAAAAAUACAUAUUUUUACUAUUAUUAAUGCUGAAAUUUCAGUAUGGUACCUGAUACACGUUGGAUUAUGAUGUUUUCAUUGUAAAUUCUUAUGUAUGUCUUUUCAUGAUGCUUCAAAAAAACCAUCAAUAUUGAAAAUCAAAGCAAAACAAAAACAAAGGAAUAAGAACAUAUGGAGUGGGAUAAACCAAUUAUCAUCUUUAUUAUGAGUGUUGUUUGCUAAAAUCUUCAGCUUUGAUUUAGUUUUAUGCAGUAACUGCAGUGGAAAUUUCUUUUACAGAAAUACAAAAAAAAUCUGAAACUAUCACUUAAGUUUUGCAAAAAUCACAGUCACUCUGUAGUCUGCAUAAGGCUACAGAACAGUGGAUUAGCAUGAAGGGAAGAGGGUUUCUACCUCUUUUUCCUCCAGUUCCAAAAUGCAUUUGUGGAGUUGUGUAGCCAAAUAACAGGCAUGUCCUGUUCUAAAUCCAGCACACUCUUAGGAAUUUUUGCAACUUCUUCUGAGGCUAAGGGGUUUCUUGUCUGUAAGUGGCAAGGCUACUGUGAUGACAUGUUAAAUAUAUAUGUGUAUUUUAAUAAUAAAUACAUAAAAUAAUUAAAUUAAAAAAAAACAUAUUUGAAAUUUAUUUUAACACAUAAUAAAUUUUAUUCCACUCUGGAAAGAAUGAGUCUAUAGAUUCAUGUUAUGAUUAAGGGCUAGCAUUAUUUCUGUUAUUUCUGUGGUAAAUAAAAUUAAGCAACAACAAGAUCCACAACUCAGGCCUUACCUUCACAAAACUUUUACUGUCAGGAUUUCCCUCUUUGUUCCUGUCCUUGUCAGUAUAAUGCAGCCUGGUGACUUUUGUCUCUGUAACCUUUCUAACUCCAGUGAGGGUACACACAGGGACACUAAAAAUUCCUAAGACUUUUGUGCUUCUGUUAUUGCCCCCAGACUUGAGAUGAGGUGAGGCUACAGGCAAGUGAGGUAAACUCAUUAGAAUCCCCUCAACUAUGGUUGUUAAUGACCCAUUUGAUGCAGCAGAAGGAAAUGUUUUUGCUGCUUGUACUGACAACAAAUAAAGGGCAAGGGAAAAGAUUUGGACAUAAAAAUAUCCCCCAUGCAGAAGCAGCAUGAAUCAGCUGCAGUCUGUUUUGCAGUCACAUGCACGUUCUGGUAGAGGAGUAGGCAGCACAGGCCAGAAUUUUGAGGAAGACACUUGUAUGUUUAUUUUGUAAAAUAAUAAGCCUGCUUGGUUUCGGCUACGAUUUUCACACUGUGAACUAGUUAAGUUGUGGGUUUUUGUCUGUAGGGAAUUGUGAGGCUAAAAUAAACUUGAGUUCCUCAAUAGGGCAUUUCUGCACAUUUCUUGAUCUCACAUUUUUCUCUCCAGUCCCAUCCCUCCUCAAGGUUUUUAUGUUUGUUUGUUUGUUUUUUGGACUAAUAAUGCCAUCUUGUAUACAUAGCUUUUUUCCUUUUCUCUGCUUUCUCCCCACUCUCCACUUUUUCAGUACUUCAUUCACAUAUUACCCUUGCUGGUUUAAUUCAUAUAAUUUUCCUUUCCCAGCCUCUUUUCAUUUUUUCAUCCCCCAUUCAGGAUUCGAGUAGGCAAAUAAUAUUCUUGUCUUGGAGAAAUGGAUCUUCACUACAGUGAAGUUCCACUGUGAAUUUUCUCAAUCUGGAAAUAAAACAUGGUUAUGUGUCACUGACUCGUUUUCUAGGAAGACGAUCUUCAAAUUAAGAGGCUUUCAUUAAUGUCCUUUGUAAUGUAAAAUGGUUUGAUUUCAAAUUACUCACUAUCUGAAUAUGAGUUAGACAAAAUACUUGUCAGGAUUUCGAUGGAUUAUGAAGCCUCACCUUAUAUAUCUUAAUUGUUGGAAUUUUCAAUGGAUUUGUGUGGACUGCCAAGCCUUAUAAUUUGUGUGUGUCUAUUUCAGUAUGAAAUCCUUGACUGCUUCAACUUACUUUAUUGCCUUUCAUGACACUAUAUCAUUGUUAAGCAUCAUGACACUAGUUGAGUGCAUUAGUUCAGAUGAGGAUUACCCAUCACAUGAUCCUUAUUUCAGCUUCAUUUUAACAUAUUAUUGGAAGCUUUAAAGGGGCAGAUAAUGUUUCAAAUUCCAGUUAGAAGCAAGGAAAAGAUUAGCAGAGUAUACACACUGGUUUGAAGAAGUGGCUGCCUGUAAGCAUUAGCAGACAGCAAACAGUACAGAAACAUCAUUUCUUACGAACUAUCAGAGCCUAGCCCUUCUACAAACUGCUAUCUUGACCCCAACUCUUGCAUAGUAAUGAAAUAAUGACUGUUUGGAUAUUAAAAAAAACAACCAACCAAAAAAAAAAAAAAACCAUAAAAAAAACCAUUUGCAUGUUUUAUAUUGCCCAAUUCCACCUAGCAGCCAAUAGAAAAUAAAAUAAUGUUUUAAGAUAAGUUUACUAAAAUCCAUUGCAUCUGAACAGACGUGGAUUGACAUUUCUGCUAUCUCUGGCUGCCUCAGCCUCUCUCCUAUGGGUACAGAUUAUGUUUGUUUUCAGAAUUGCUGAAGACAGAAAUACACUCUGAGUUUGAGUGAACUUUUUCACCUAAUUUCAAAUCUGCUUGAACUUAGUGACUUCAUGUAUUUGAUUUAAGCUUUUUGAGUUUGCAUUCAAUAAGGGAGAAGAAAGUGAAAGGAGAAGAGAUGGAAAAUCCAAUGCAGACAUAAUGUAAGGAAAAAAAUGAGUUUGAUAUGUAUGCCACAUGUGAAUUAUUCGUUUCUCUUUUAGUAACAUCUGUUUUUUGUAGCACAGAAGUUUUCCUUGCCUCUUCCAAAAAAUUGAGUUGGUGCUUUUGUUUUUAAUUUAAUGAUGCAAAGAGAAAAAUGGUGAAGUUGGAAAUAAUUUGUAAUAUGCACACAAACAAAGUUCCUUAAAUCUGAGACGUGGUGAAUGACCACGAGACAGAGAAGACAACUCAAUGAAUACAGAUAUUUUGACAAUAGUGUUCAGUAUCUGAGACAUAAAGAAAAUCCAGGGAGUGUUUUCACUUCAUCAGAUGCAGCCUUAGAGGACAAAUAUCUAUUACCAUUUAUUUGUGUCCAGCUUUGCAACAUAUUAUUCCAAAAGCAAAUCAUGCUGUGAUGGAAGAUGUAUGAAACUGAGUGAUCUAUGUUGCUCUCCUACUGUCUGAUGAAAACUCUGUCCACCCCUGAUUGCAUGACUUAGUGGCCAAGCUUAUACACCUUGCUGGCCAGAUAAUCUGGUUCAGUGUCCACUGUUCUCACAGACUAGAGGUAAAAUCUUUUAUCUGUUUUCCCAGACUCAGUGUUUCUUGCUGGAAGUCUUUGGUAGAAGCAGUAAAACUUACUGUAAAUAUCCUAGAAGUUAUUAAUAUGUCUUCCUACUGGCACAUCUUCACGUUUUUUCAUCAUUUUAAUGAUUUUUUAAUGAACUUAAAUAAAAACUUCUGAAAUUUC